AUAGGACUGCAGCAAAACAGAGAGGCAAAAAUACCCUCUCAAAAUUAUUGCACCCAACGUGAUGAAAAAACACUUGACCUUCAGAAAACCAAACAUUUUGCUGAAGUGAGAACCUAAGCGGGAAGGUUGGCUCCCUGUAACGUGAAGGGGGGUUCAUGGCCUUCCCCACGACUGCCAGCCCGUGAUGCUCCUCAGAGCAGAGCGCUCCGGGAGCCAGCGGGGACUGCCAUGGACUUAGUGCCUCACACAGGGCAGGAAAGCCAGUCCCCCCUGCAAAAAAAAAAAAAAAAAUAAAAAAAUUAUGUGCUUUAGUUUUGAUUAAGGUUUCAAGGAUACCAUUAGAGGAGAGGGGAAGCAGAGGCGUUCCCCUCAAAUACUGUCAGUGAUGUAGGCUCCCUCAGAGAAGGGCGUAAUGCGCAGAUCUCACCCAGUAAUCAAAGGUUGUUUUUAUCUUUCAUGCCCUUGGUUUAGGCUUUCUUUUUCUCCCUUGGAGGAGAUUAUACAAAAUAAAAACCGUCUUGGUUUGUUUUUUUUUGUCAGCUUCAUUGGAGGGCUGAGUGAGUCACAAAGAAGCCAAGGUAGGCCGAGGAAGGUUACCUGACCUGCUAGGCCCUCAGCAAGCCUUUCCUGGAGAAACUGCCGCUGAGCAGUAAUAAACUUCACCCCUCGGAGAUGGACGCCACCAGGACAUCAUUGAGAGGGAAGAAAUGUGUGCUUUCAUCUCCCAAGGUCCAGACUUAUGCCAGAGGUGCAAUAAAACGUGACAAAUGUCCAGCCUUCCACAGGUUAAGCAAGCAAGGCCAGGAGAAGAGGAAUAGGAAAUGUGAAGUAAUGUCGGGUUUAUAUCAACAACACAUCUGAUGAUUUUCUACAGCCUCUUUCAGCAGAAGCUUUUCUCACAUAUUGACAGCUACGAAGGUUGCCGUUGCUUGCAAAGAAACGUGUCCCUCAGGAGUCUGUGGCAUGUUUCUUUAGCCAGAAAUUAAGAGACUGAGCAAAAUAUUCAGUUGAGUAUUUUGAAGAGGAACCCGAAACAGAUGAAUUAUGCAGUAGCCCACAUUUUCAUCAAAGCCAAGGAAAGAUUAAAAUGUCUUGAAGCCUCUACAUGCCUGUACAAUAACAAGCAAAUCCCUGAAAUGUCGCUGUCCCAGGAAGUCCUAAAGAACUUCUGAUCAGGACUCAGGUUUCUUUUGGCUUUCAGACUCGUUUCUGUUUAGAAUAUUGUUUUAGCCCAUUUCAUAUGAAAAAAAUCAAGCUUCCUAUGAUGCUGUUGCCAUAGCUGUAUGUCAGUCCUUCUCUAACAACUGUUCAACCAUUCUGUGCACUUCAACUAGAUCUGAAAGACCUGGAGAUCUCAAAGAUAAUUACAUUCCUAUUAAAUAAUGGUACUGGGAAGACAGAAGUCAGGGUAUAGGGCCCUUACUCAAGAGUAGAGAAGGCUUAUUAAUGCCUGCUCACAGACCAGUUUAUCUCAAUACUAACAUCCUUCUGUGCAUUCAGAGAAUAUCACUGGUACAGGACAAAUCAGAUACAGUGACUACUGGUUUGCAUUAUCAGCACUACAAUUCUAAUAUCUAAAUAAGACAAAAUGGAAUUUCCUUUACAUUCAUCUGCUUUAUUGACAUGAAUUAAAAAUAAAGUCUAGUUGUUGAUCUGAACAAGACAAUGCAAUCCAUCAAACCCAA